AGCAUGGAGAACAGUGCUUCUCAAACUUCGUUACACAUUAAUCGGCCUAGAAGACACAGUGACAGCCGAGUCAGUGCUCCUUCCCCCAGCUGCCUUCGGGGCUUCCCCUGCUGCCCCGAAGAUGACACUGAAGGAGGCUCUCAAGACGCACCAAACUCUGCGUCUGGACACCUCCUGCCUCAGCAUCCACAGACCCCAUUCCUUGUAUUGACUGCCCAUACCAGCACGCCUCUGCCCGUCUCUAACCAAGCUGGGUGCGUGCUUCAACCCUCUCUGGCCUAACUGUAAAGGACAUUUCUGGAGAUCAAACAUCUAUUGGCAUUUUCAGCUGGUGAAUCCACCAGGAGCCAUCCCUUGUAAAUAAUUCAUCCCGCUCAAGAACCUCCUCCGAUUCAACUUUGAUCUACAGAUGAGCCCUAAAAGGGGUCGUUGAGUGGAUACAGGCAGGAAUUCAAGGCCUGGGGGGAACUGAGAAAUGAGGAAAGCUGGAUCCACCUAAACUCUCCAUCCCAGGAGCCUGUACAGCUUUUUUAAUGAGAUUUUAUUUCAUUCUUUUCCGCUUACUCUCUUUAAUAUUUUAAGACAUCAUAAACCCUUCUUGGAAGCCUGAGAAAUAAUUAAUCAAAGAAUCAAUUUCCUCUCUUCACAAACACUUGGAGAGCACCUGGGUGAGCCCUAGUGUGCAGGGGGCACGUUGGCGUGAAUAACAGUUCCAGGCUCAUGGCGAGCAAAUUAAUCCUGCGGGCCAGAGCUUUCAAUGUAUUGUUCAAACCCUCCCUUUCUGAAGCCCCUUCUCAAAAGGCUCCUUUACUCCCCCAGAUGUCCAGGCCCUGUCCACCAUUUGGAAAUGGGUGGGUGUGUUAGGUGGCCACAAUGACUCGGGGGCAAGGCUGGCAUUUAGUGGCCCAGGACACUAGAUGUCAUACAGCGUUCAGGACCAUCCUUCACCACAGGUCACCAGCGCCCCACUGAUAAACCCAAAGAGUGGGUGGGGACAAACAUGGUGGCUGGGGUGCACUGACAGUCUCAGUCACUAGAGGGCGCUCUCACGUGACGUGGGCAGCCCUUGCACUUGCUGCGCAGGACCCUGGUUAACAAUAGUUGCCCAAAUCAAUCCAGGGAAACCUUUGCUAUCACUUAUGAGGAAUUCACAACACACUGUCAGAUGACUUUGGAUAUGAGGCCCUUGGUGGAGUUCCUUACACCAAGCAGCAGCCUUUGAAGUAGGGCAUUUUCCCUACUUUAUUUAAUCUGUCGAUAAAUGUGAAUUUCUUGUCUUCACAUGGACGGCACAAUGGGAAGUGAUCCAGAGGUGAAAAGAAACUUUCUGAGCUUUCUGCAUGGCACAUAAAAAAAAGAAACACAGAUAAGUGGGCAUAGACUUCAUCAGAACUCAAUAAUGGGACAGCCUUUUAGGUGGCUUUGCCAUGUCCAAAAUUCUUUCACGGCUAGUAUCUCAUUUGAUCCACACAAUGAGUCUAGAGGAAGCUGGAGCAAGUAUGUUUAUUGCCAUUUUACACCUGAAAAAACUGUGACCAGGAGAACUUUAGGAGAUCACCCAGCAUCACAGAAUUAAUAACCUGCAGAGCUGUAACUCAAGGCCUCAGACUACGGCCCCAGGGGCUCAGCCCUGUCCACCACACUGAGUGGCAGAGAUGAAAUGCAAAGCAGGCAUGAAUUGCAGGCCUUCUUGUCUGAGAGGCAACUGGACCUGAAGCCAAAGGGUUUAGCAGCAGAGGUCCGGCGAGGCCCCAUUUCCACACCUAGAACUUGGAGAUGAUGAAAUACAGUUUAAUGAAGUGUUUUCCAAACUAGCUGAACCAUUAGAAGCCCCUGAAGUGAUGUUAAAAAUACUGAUUUCUUGUGUUUUCCCAGAGCUGGAUUCAGUAGGUCCAAGGGAGGGACAAAGAUGACCAGAUGUGUAGUCAGCCCACCUAGCUGGGAAAUCACCAGUAGCUUGGCUUCUGUAUGAAUUAAAGGAGAUGGUGUAUGUAUCAAACACCC
ensembl:lincRNA